UUCCAUUUUUUCCUUCUUGGUCUCCGCUCAUAAGAGCGUUUAUGAGACAGUUAUGAUGUGCCCUGGAGUCUUUCCAUGCCCCUUGCCCUUCCUGUCUGGGGUACCAUUUUCUGGUGUCCUUUGGUGGGUUGUCCAGAACAGAGUGCAGAGGGACAGCACUGGUGUUGGUGAUGCCUUCUCCAGCAGCCAUGUGACAUUCCUCAACCCCUGCUACCUGCCACAGCCAAGCCAGGCUCACCAGCCUCUCACUUUCUGCUGAGCACUCUUCACUGUGACAUCAUGGUCCAGGGCCAUGAUGCAACCAUACAACCCCCUGCAUCAGUGUGAUGGGAGACAUGCUACACAGCAGGAGCAAGAGACAUGGCAAGAUACAACAGCCAUGACACAGAAAGUCAAAGACCCUUUUUCCAUAAUUUUAUAAUUUGCAUUUGUAAUCUUUCCAUUAACUUAACCCAAAUCUGUCCACUUGGUCCAAGGUCAUCUUGUAGAGUUUUUCUGUUCUGUAUGGAUAACAAAGCUUGUCAGCAUUUAUCCCACCAGACUGGUAGCUUAAGCAUAUGGGAGAAGUGAAGCCUUUUUGCCAAGAGAAGUCCUGUUGCUGGAAACGUCUGUUAUUACAUCAAGAAUGUGAUGAUGUUAUGUUCA